rnacentral:rRNA from 1 species
AUACGUAGGUGGCAAGCGUUGUCCGGAUUUACUGGGCGUAAAGGAUGCGUAGGCGGAUGUUUAAGUGAGAUGUGAAAUACCCGGGCUCAACUUGGGUGCUGCAUUUCAAACUGGAUAUCUAGAGUGCAGGGGAGGAAAGUGGAAUUCCUAGUGUAGCGGUGAAAUGCGUAGAGAUUAGGAAGAACAUCAGUGGCGAAGGCGACCUUCUGGACUGUAACUGACGCCGAGGCAUGAAAGCGUGGGGAGC